ensembl:lncRNA
AAAAGAGGAUGUCCAAGGAACCUGUUAAAUCUGAAGACAGAGCCAACAACAGAGAACAGGUGAAAACAGUCACAUCAGUGUUGUACAAAUAACCAACAUUGUGGUUUUAAACUUCCUGGUGGACUCCCAAAUCCUUCUUUGCUGUUGUUCUUUAACUCAAAUACAUUUGAUCACAUUUGUAGCUGAGAUCUCUUUUCCUAUACAGUGUUUACCUGACCAGAGACAGCCAGAGGAGCAGGAUGAUCUUCAGUACACCAGCAUCCACUUCUCCAAUAACCAGGCAGAUCCUCUCUACUCCAACAUCAGAGCAGCUCAGCCUCACAGACAAAUGCAGGAACAGGAAGUUACUGAGUACACUGCUGUUAGAUUUAACAGAGGCAGUGCAGCCAAGAGAGACAGAAGUCAGGAAACAGGAGAGUCUCCAUGUGCACUGUUCUCCACAGUCAACAAAACCAGAUGAAGGGACGGGUUGAUGAUGAUGUGAUAUUUACGUAGACUUAAAAAAUAUUAUAAAAUAUAAUAUUAAUAUUAAUAUAUAUUUGUUGUUGUUAAAUAUCACACUUUUAAUAAUAGACCAAGAUCUGAGUGUAUACAAAAUGCAGGUUUUAAAUGAAGAAUUAUUUUUUAAGGGACAAGCAGCUAUCCAGACCUACCUGGAUGUAGGAAUCCAAUAAAGUCUUUUCACAACAGACAUGUCAAAGUGGAUCAGCUUCCUCACUUUGUUCAGUGGAUCACACUUUGCUAACUGUACCAGUCUCAGAUUUAAUUAUUCUGAAACUAAGUUUAAGCUUCCCAUAACUUUUUGUUGCAAGUUACAUUACUGAUAUAAUAAAUAUAAUAUGUUUGUAUUGUUCAUCCACAAGUGCAGUCUCUGGCUCAACCACAGAAGCUUGGUAUGUUUGGUUGUCAGUCCAGACAUUACUGCUUGAAUGCCUGUCAUGAAUUUAGCUAAUCCAAGUGCAAUUGCGUGGAGAAAGUCUUUAACAUUGUCCCAACUUCCCUUAAGUACAGUUGCUGCAGAUGUGGGCUGGAUAUGCUCAUCUCUCCUGGUGUCCUGCAAGGAAACAACCACAUUCUUUAGAAUAAAAAGCUAUAUUUAGUCUACUUAUUUCAUUUAUCUGUGGCCAGGUUGUGGGAGAAGCAGCCUAAGC